rnacentral:lncRNA from 1 species
CAAAAAUCUGGAAGCCCCGGGCGCGCCUCCGAGCCCCUGUAGGAGCGCGCCGAUACGAGAUCCUCGGGGCUCCACUUUUAGACCGUGGGGUUGACCACUCAAAUGGUCGAAAACAAAGAGAAGAAGGAAAGUAAAAUCCGAUUGUUGUGGGUGGUUGCCAGAAGAUGAAUGGUGUCGACAACUGAUGGGGAAUAAGGAGAACGCUCCCCGCCUCCUGCUUGAGCGUAUAGGGGGAGGGGUUCCCUCCCUCCAGACCUUCUCCGAUGCGUUUUGAGAAGGGUGCGAGGAGAGAGGACACAAAACGCGAGGGAAUAUUCAUUGAGGAGGUGACUCAGUGAUUCACAGUUUGAUGAAACGAGCUGUAUAAAACCUGAUAGACAACGAAUUCAACUAACACUAGUUAACACACUAACACUAGUCUUUCUUCAUACAAAAGUGAAGUGCACUAACAGAUAUGAUUCAACAGAACAAGUGUUUAAAGUUGAUUAGUUGAAUAUGAUGAAUUCUAACUGGGUUGGAACAAGAGGAGCAGCUGACUACAGGGCCGCCUCUGGGAGCAGUUCUUUCUGAUCAUUCUAAAUAGCCAACAACUGACAGUUUUGGACUGGUAGAUUAUUGACCAGUGUGCUGCGUGUGCACCGUAAUACCACACAGUGGAGCUGUUUGUUCAUAGUCAGAUCCAUAGCCGUCACAGGGCAUUGACAGCGGAAACUAGACGUGAUAAGAUAAGGUCUGUUGUGGAAGUCUGCCCCGCAUCAAGAAAUGGAAACACAGACGAUUUAAAAAGCAAGAGAAAGGACUACAUGAGACAAUACGUGACAAUAUGUGUAUAUAUGUAACUAUUACAGUAUUUAGUUAUGCAAAAUACAAUGUAACUGCAAACUGGCCCUCUGAAAUAUGUCUGUGUGUUAAUUGACUUACUAGUAGAUAACUUAUACUCUUUCAACAUAUGAACAGAUGUGUUACACUGAUACAAUAAACAUCCAGCACAUCCUUACA